GCCUCCGGGGCGCAGCAGUAGGGAAUAUUGCUCAAUGGGGGAAACCCUGAAGCAGCAACGCCGCGUGAGUGAAGAAGUAUUUCGGUAUGUAAAGCUCUGUCAGCAGGGAAGAAGAAAGACGGUACCUGACCAAGAAGCCCCGGCUAACUACGUGCCAGCAGCCGCGGUAAUACGUAGGGGGCAAGCGUUAUCCGGAUUUACUGGGUGUAAAGGGAGCGUAGACGGCAGGGCAAGUCUGGAGUGAAAGGCAGGGGCCCAACCCCUGGACUGCUCUGGAAACUGUCCGGCUGGAGGGCGGG
rnacentral:rRNA from 1 species